UUUUAGAAACACAAUUUGGGGCCACCUCGAUUUACCUGUAAGUCGUGCCAAUGAAGAGCUCAUAUGCCGGGUUGUCCUCGACGCCUGCAAAUCUGCUUUGUCUGGCUAUCAUACCACCAUUGAAGAGGAUGAAAAGCUGAUGGAAGAGGGAAAUCUUGAUGAGAGGCAGAAAAUUGCAGGAGUAAGAGCGGGGGAAAAGAAGGUGCUGCAGCAAAUUGAUGAGAUCUUCAAGGGAAGGGAAUCGGAAUUGGAUUUGUUGGAAUAUUACCAAGAAAGAAGGCUCAAAGAUCUUGGUCUUGUUGGAGAGCAAGGUGAACUCAUCUUCUGGGAGACCAACUAGGACAUGUCAAGAGAUGGCAAU